GACGAACGCUGGCGGCGUGCUUAACACAUGCAAGUCGAACGGUAAGGCCCCUUCGGGGGUACACGAGUGGCGAACGGGUGAGUAACACGUGAGUAACCUGCCCCAGACACUGGGAUAACUCCUGGAAACAGGAGCUAAUACCGGAUACGAACUUUCGCGGCAUCGCGGAAGUUGGAAAGCUCCGGCGGUCUGGGAUGGACUCGCGGCCUAUCAGCUUGUUGGUGAGGUAACGGCUCACCAAGGCUUCGACGGGUAGCCGGCCUGAGAGGGUGACCGG
rnacentral:rRNA from 1 species